rnacentral:rRNA from 1 species
UACGUAGGGUGCAAGCGUUAAUCGGAAUUACUGGGCGUAAAGCGUGCGCAGGCGGUUGUGCAAGACAGAUGUGAAAUCCCCGGGCUCAACCUGGGAAUGGCCGUUGAAACUGGCGAACUGGAGUGUGGCAGAGGGGGGUGGAAUUCCGCGUGUAGCAGUGAAAUGCGUAGAGAUGCGGAGGAACACCGAUGGCGAAGGCAGCCCCCUGGGCUAACACUGACGCUCAGGCACGAAAGCGUGGGGAGCAAACAGG